GAUGAACGCUAGCGACAGGCCUAACACAUGCAAGUCGAGGGGUAGCAUUGAAGUAGCAAUACUUUAGAUGACGACCGGCGCACGGGUGAGUAACGCGUAUGCAACCUACCUACUACAGGGGAAUAGCCCGAAGAAAUUCGGAUUAAUGCCGCAUAAUACAGGGGCACCGCAUGGUGAUAUUUGUUAAAGAUUAAUUGGUAGUAGAUGGGCAUGCGUUCCAUUAGCCAGUUGGUGAGGUAACGGCUCACCAAAGCAACGAUGGAUAGGGGAACUGAGAGGUUUAUCCCCCACACUGGUACUGAGACACGGACCAGACUCCUACGGGAGGCAGCAGUGAGGAAUAUUGGUCAAUGGGCGAGAGCCUGAACCAGCCAAGUCGCGUGAAGGAUGACUGCCCUAUGGGUUGUAAACUUCUUUUGUACUGGGGUAAAAAGGAGGACGUGUCCUUUCUUGCAAGUACAGUACGAAUAAGCAUCGGCUAACUCCGUGCCAGCAGCCGCCGUAA
rnacentral:rRNA from 1 species